AUACCAUUUUGGCCAGUAUGUUAUGCAAAAGUUACUGAUUGGACUCUCUGUUUUGUUAAAUGACAAUUUGAAUCUUGCGUUUUGCAAAAUGGAACAAAAAUGUACCUUGAACCCAAUUUUAGUCAAAUAUUUUUUAAAUAGGACCAAAAUACCCCUUGUUUUAUUAAGUUCAGAAUUAGUUAAAUAUUAAAAAUAUAUUUUAAAAUAAAUUAAAUUGAUUUUAAAAGAAAAAACUAAUUUAAAUAAUAAAAUAGUAACAUAAAUAAUUUUAAAAUAAACAAACAUAUUUUACUAAAAACAAAACUAAAGAAAUCGAUUUUUCAUCCGAUUUUCUUCUUCUUCUUCUUCUUCUUCUUCUUCUUCUAUUAUAUAGAUUUAGGGUCGUCAAUUUCCAAGGAAGGUUUGGGGUUGUCAACUGGUGUGCUCAUUUCUUCAAGUCGAUUGACGGUGAGAAGCUCCUGGCUUGCUUUCAGAUAUGGCCCAUUAUCCUCUUUGACUGAGCUGCAAACUUGCAGAUCUGAAGCAUUGAUCAUGGGGGAUCGACGGAGCUGGGGAGAACUCAGAUUGAAUGGACAAGUGAAAAAGAUGUAGAUCUAAAACAUUGACCACAUAGAUGUAUGAGGGUCUAAUGACGGUGGGUCCGUGUUUCCAAGGGUCGAUGGCCAUGGAAGAGAGAUGAGGCUAUGCUUUUCAUGGUUUCUGGAAAAAAGUGGAAGGUGCCGACGUGAUAGAGUGAACAUAUUUUUGAACUCAGUUCAUGCGAUUUGGGACAAAUGAGAUAGAGAAAUAGAGGGACAAGGUAUUGGGUUGGGGUUGGAGUUGAGGGGCAUGAGAUCUGAAACCGAAGAUGAAAGCGAGACCUGAGGUGAGCUAGGGAUGGGCUGAAGUUUGAGAUUUGGGGCUUGCUGGGGUGCGAUGAAUCUGGGCAGCUUCGCGUGGUGCUCUUCACCAUCGGAAUUCACUGAUGGCAGUUGGUGGGGCAACGCACGAGACGGACGAUCGGAGUUCAAGUGUUUUCUAGUUUAUGAAUUGAUUUGGGGCUUGAAUGGGUCUUCGGUUUAUUGAGCUUAAGAUUUUUGGUUGAAUCUAGCUGUUGAUUGAAUAUAAAGUUGUCGAAUUUGAGGGACCUGCGAUUUUUCGAUUUUUGAUUUGUGAAUAUGAAGAUAUGAAUUCAAGAGGUUUUUUUGAUA